UGAUAUAAACUCAGAUAUGUUGAAGGUUUUCUUUUUUUUUAUUUGUAGUUGUUCAGCUUUGUUGUUAAUGAGGUCAGAAUAAGCUCAUAGUUUACACAUUUUUACAUUCCCAUACCGAGUAGCUGCUUUUCUCUAUCAAAUCCAUUAACUGAGAGAACAAUCACAUUUCGUUACAGGUGAACAGUUAAAUAGUUUGGCAUAUAUUUCUGUGCUGGAAUCUAAUGCAGCUUGAAAUCAAGUCAUGCCUCACUCAUUGAAAAAAACAUGGUUAAAUUCUCAAAGAAUUGUGCUGAGUGAAAGAAACUAAGGAAUUGAGAGUAAAUUUUACGUGAUACAUUUGUAGAAAUUUUAGGAGAUGCCACUAUUAUAAAUUAACAUGGAGAAGAUUUAAAUGUUUCUGAGAAUAUGCUAUUGGGAGUAAUGGGGAUGUGAGUUAAAUUUCAGAGGAAUAAGAGAAAGAUUUAGGGAUUAAUUUAUUCAAACCUUGAUUGAAGUGCUGAGUAAAUGGUUGCAAACAUAGGUCUACAUUUUUCAAAUCAUUCACCAUAAAUUUGAAUUAUUUAUUAAUUACACUCGAAUAAAGCAAUAAAGAAACUGAUGAGAUAAUAUUUGACUGAAUUGCAGCAAUAAAUAGAUCGAUAUUAACACAAGGAAUAUAACUGACUUCCAAAAACAUACACAUGAACCGUGGUUCACUCUGCGUAUUUAGGUAAAUAACAGAAAGUUGUCAUAACAGAUGGGGAAUCCUGCAGACUUCACUAGGCAUGGGCCAUGCUGCCCUGGAGUUGUCUCAGGGGAGCUGCCUCCUCCAGAGGUUAGAGCACAGUCCCAGGUAAUAGGACUAAAUUUUUAGAUGUGUUAUCUUAGACACACUGCACAACUGCUGUGUUCUCUAUGUAAAUUAUCUCCUGUAAAAUAUAACAUUGAAGCCUGCAUUAAAUAUAUUGUGUAAAUAUGUAAGAAUAAAAGAAAGUUAUGAGAGCUAAGUGUUAAUCAAGGCACAAGCAUAUAAUAUAUAACUAUAUUUUCCUGAAUGAUGGAAUUACUACCAGUUUCCCCCAGGACACUUCAUCUGCCCUGAGCCCAGCCUCUCCUCAGAUGUCCCACCCCAGAGCUUGCUAUAUCGUGGGGGACAUGCAAAUAGGGCCCUCCCUCUGCUGAUGAAAACCAGCCCAGCCCUGACCCUGUAGCUCUGGGAGAGGAGCCCAGCACUAGAAGUCGGCGGUGUUUCCAUUCGGUGAUCAGCACUGAACACAGAGGACUCACCAUGGAGUUUGGGCUGAGCUGGGUUUUCCUCGUUGCUCUUUUAAGAGGUGUCCAGUGUCAGGUGCGGCUGGUGGAGUCUGGGGGAGGCGUGGUCCAGCCUGGGAGGUCCUUGAGACUCUCCUGUGCAGCCUCUGGAUUCACCUUCAGUAGCUAUGGCAUGCACUGGGUCCGCCAGGCUCCAGGCAAGGGGCUGGAGUGGGUGGCAGUUAUAUCGUAUGAUGGAAGUAAUAAAUACUAUGCAGACUCCGUGAAGGGCCGAUUCACCAUCUCCAGAGACAAUUCCAAGAACACGCUGUAUCUUCAAAUGAACAGCCUGAGAGCUGAGGACACGGCUGUGUAUUACUGUGCGAGACCCGAGUAUUACUAUGCUGAUAGUAGUUAUUACCUUGACUACUGGGGCCAGGGAACCCUGGUCACCGUCUCCUCAGCAUCCACCAAGGCUCCGGAUGUGUUCCCCAUCAUAUCAGGGUGCAGACACCCAAAGGAUAACAGCCCUGUGGUCCUGGCAUGCUUGAUAACUGGGUACCACCCAACGCCCGUGACUGUCACCUGGUACAUGGGGACACAGAGCCAGCCCCAGAGAACCUUCCCUGAGAUACAAAGACGGGACAGCUACUACAUGACAAGCAGCCAGCUCUCCACCCCCCUCCAGCAGUGGCGCCAAGGCGAGUACAAAUGCGUGGUCCAGCACACCGCCAGCAAGAGUAAGAAGGAGAUCUUCCGCUGGCCAGAGUCUCCAAAGGCACAGGCCUCCUCAGUGCCCACUGCACAACCCCAAGCAGAGGGCAGCCUCGCCAAGGCAACCAGAGCCCCAGCCACCACCAGUAACACAGGAAGAGGAGGAGAAGAGAAGAAGAAGGAGAAGGAGAAAGAGGAACAAGAAGAGAGAGAGACAAAGACACCAGACUGUCCGAGCCACACCCAGCCUCUUGGCGUCUACCUGCUGCCCCCUGCAGUGCAGGACCUGUGGCUCCGAGACAAAGCCACCUUCACCUGCUUCGUGGUGGGCAGUGACCUGAAGGAUGCUCACCUGUCCUGGGAGGUGGCCGGGAAGGUCCCCACAGGGGGCGUGGAGGAAGGGCUGCUGGAGCGGCACAGCAACGGCUCCCAGAGCCAGCACAGCCGUCUGACCCUGCCCAGGUCCUUGUGGAACGCGGGGACCUCCGUCACCUGCACACUGAACCAUCCCAGCCUCCCACCCCAGAGGUUGAUGGCACUGAGAGAACCCGCUGCGCAGGCACCCGUCAAGCUUUCCCUGAACCUGCUGGCCUCGUCUGACCCUCCCGAGGCGGCCUCGUGGCUCCUGUGUGAGGUGUCUGGCUUCUCGCCCCCCAACAUCCUCCUGAUGUGGCUGGAGGACCAGCGCGAGGUGAACACUUCUGGGUUUGCCCCCGCACGCCCCCCUCCACAGCCCGGGAGCACCACGUUCUGGGCCUGGAGUGUGCUGCGUGUCCCAGCCCCGCCCAGCCCUCAGCCAGCCACCUACACGUGUGUGGUCAGCCACGAGGACUCCCGGACUCUGCUCAACGCCAGCCGGAGCCUAGACGUCAGCUACCUGGCCAUGACCCCCUUGAUCCCUCAGAGCAAGGAUGAGAACAGCGAUGACUACACGACCUUUGAUGACGUGGGCAGCCUGUGGACCACCCUGUCCACGUUUGUGGCCCUCUUCAUCCUCACCCUCCUCUACAGCGGCAUUGUCACUUUCAUCAAGGUGAAGUAGCCCCAGAAGAGCAGGACGCCCUGUACCUGCAGAGAAGGGAAGCAGCCUCUGUGCCUCAUCCGUGGCUGCCAGAGAGCAGAAAGGACCCACCCUGGACUCUGCUGUGUGCAGGAAGAUGCGCCGGCCCCUGCCCCCGGCUCCCCUCUGUCCGCCACAGAACCCAGUCUUCUAGACCAGGGAGACGGGCACCCAUCACUCCGCAGGCGAAUCAGAGCCCCCCUGCCCCGGCCCUAACCCCUGUGCCUCCUUCCCGUGCUUCCCCCAGAGCCAGCUACACCCCUGCCCCGGCCCUAACUCCCCAUGCCUCCUUCCUGUGCUUCCCCCAGAGCCAGCUAGUCCCACCUGCAGCCCGCUGGCCUCCCCAUAAACACGCUUCGGUUCAUUGCA